rnacentral:rRNA from 1 species
GACGAACGCUGGCGGCGUGCUUAACACAUGCAAGUCGAACGAUGAAGCCCAGCUUGCUGGGUGGAAGAGUGGCGAACGGGUGAGUAACACGUGAGUAACCUGCCUAUCACUCUGGGAUAAGCGCUGGAAACGGCGUCUAAUACUGGAUACGACCUAUCACCGCAUGGUGUGUGGGUGGAAAGAUUUAUCGGUGGUAGAUGGACUCGCGGCCUAUCAGCUUGUUGGUGAGGUAAUGGCUCACCAAGGCGACGACGGGUAGCCGGCCUGAGAGGGUGACCGGCCACACUGGGACUGAGACACGGCCCAGACUCCUACGGGAGGCAGCAGUGGGGAAUAUUGCACAAUGGGCGCAAGCCUGAUGCAGCAACGCCGCGUGAGGGACGACGGCCUUCGGGUUGUAAACCUCUUUUAGUAGGGAAGAAGCGAAAGUGACGGUACCUGCAGAAAAAGCACCGGCUAACUACGUGCCAGCCGCCGCGGUAA